rnacentral:lncRNA from 1 species
CCCAAAUCAAUUAACAAUAGAGGAAAGUCACGCUGUUUUAAUUUUUCUCUUUAUACUGCUAUCUCCUGUUUCCCCUGUUUUUACACUUCUUUGCAGCUCACUUUCCUUAUCUGUAAGAUAUUCUUAGGAUGAACUUAGUAAGAAAUGUGCAAGAUCUAGAUGAAGACCCACCAGAUAGGAUGCUCUCUUGCAGACACGCAACUCACUGACUCAACCAAUGAGGAAAUUAUCCCACAAAGCAGAUAAUCCUAAUGGAGGGCAGAAUUCAGGACUGAGCAUCUCAGUGAUGCCGCCGGGAACCCAGGCUUCUCUGUCCCUUCACCGGACUAACCGAGUUCGAGACCACACGGGGGUCAGGUAGCCAAGGCUGGGCUUUGACGGUAGGAAUGAAGGAGGUGAGGGUGGCGCGCCGCAGGCCUGGGCCACUCCCUGAGUAGGGCGGCGGCGGCGGCGGCGGCAGCGGCUGCAGGCCCGGCCGAUUGGGAGGAGACAGCGGUGCCUCCUGGGCCGCGCACCCUACCCUUCCCGGGGUCCCGGCUCGCGCCGCGGCCGCGCGAGGCGCGCUCGAGCGGAAGUGGCGGCGAUCCCGCCGGAAGCGCGCGGCUGCGGCGCGGGAAGCAACCCAGAGCCCUCCUCCCACCUGCUCUGUGUAGGAGACAGCCUGCGGAGCCCACUGCCGGCGCGCCGAGAGCCCAGCAGCUCUUGAGUCCGGGAAGCAAGGGUGGGCGGAGGGACGAGCCAGUGGCAAUGACCCAGACUCCGACCCCCAUUGCUGACCCAGCGGAGCUGCUUGGCUGAAGCAGAGUCUUCCUCCUGGUGUUCCAGCAGGAGUUUAAGGUCCUGCUCCAUAUAGGACAGCCAGAUUCUGAGGGCAAUGUUGAGAUCCUCAUCUCCAGAAGGUGCUGGUGCCAGAAACAUGACAAAAGGCUGAUUCACGGGCCAGGCGCAGUGGCUCACGCCUGUAUUCCCAGCACUUUGGGAGGCCAAGGCGGGUGGAUCAUGAGGUCAAGAGUUCGAGACCAUCCUGGCCAAUAUGGUGAAACCCUGUCUCUACUAAAAAUACAAAAAAUUAGCUGGGCGUGGUGGCGCGCACCUGUAGUCCCGGCUACUUGGCAGGCUGAGGCAGGAGAAUUGCUCGAACCGGGAGGAGGAGGUUGCAGUGAGCCAAGAUGGCACCACUGCACUCCAGCCUGGUGACAGAGCAAGACUCCAUCUCAGAAUAAAUAAAUAAAUAAAAAAGGCUGAUUCACAUCUUGGCAGGGAGAUCCUGAAAGAAACAGGCUGGGGGUAAGGAGCUUCAUGUGCCCAGGCCCAAGGUGGUAGAAACCUAGGCCAUCUGUGCUAUGGGAUCCAUCCUCUCACUUGCACAACUUCCCUCCCACAGGACUGGGACUCCGUCUCACAUCCUGGGAAGCUAGGAUUCCUUGGUUUUCAGAGUAAUCAUGGAAGCCCCGGAAUGAGGCACUGUGGGAGGCCACUGGGAAAUCCAAAGAAGAAGAGGUUUGAAGAUCUCCUAUCCCAGACCCUUCCCUCCAUCUGCCCCUCCAAACCUCUCUUUUAAGAGAUUGAGAAGGAAUCCAGCUGGCUUCCACUUUCUGUGACAAAACUCCUGCCUCGGUGCACGACUCCAUUUCUCUGCAGUUUGUGCAUCCCAUAAAAAAGUAAAAUAAAAAAUAAAAACUCCAGCCCAGAAAGUCCUGUACUCAGUGAUUCUCACACUUAGAAUGAACCCAGGAGCACUAUAAACAUACAGCUCACCCUGCACAGCCUCCCUCCCUUCCAGCAGUCAAGCAUACUGGCAAAUGACUUCACCUUCCUGUUCUUCAGUCUCCUCGCCUGUAAAAUGGGGCUACUGACAGCAGCCUACUUACAGAUUUUUCCCCAAGGAUUAAAGGAAUGAAUGAAUAUGGUAAAGCACUUAGAACACAUGGGAAGUGCUUAAUAAA